rnacentral:rRNA from 1 species
UACGUAGGGUGCGAGCGUUACUCGGAAUUACUGGGCGUAAAGCGUGCGCAGGCGGUUUGUUAAGCCAGAUGUGAAAGCCCCGGGCUCAACCUGGGAACUGCGUUUGGUACUGGCAAGCUAGAGUACGGCAGAGGGGGGUGGAAUUCCACGUGUAGCAGUGAAAUGCGUAGAGAUGUGGAGGAACACCGAUGGCGAAGGCAGCCCCCUGGGCCGAUACUGACGCUCAGGCACGAAAGCGUGGGGAGCAAACAGG